CGGGACACGUGGUAUCCUGUCUGAAUAUGGGGGGACCAUCCUCCAAGGCUAAAUACUCCUGACUGACCGAUAGUGAACCAGUACCGUGAGGGAAAGGCGAAAAGAACCCCGGCGAGGGGAGUGAAAAAGAACCUGAAACCGUGUACGUACAAGCAGUGGGAGCCUCUUAAUGGGGUGACUGCGUACCUUUUGUAUAAUGGGUCAGCGACUUAUAUUCUGUAGCAAGGUUAACCGAAUAGGGGAGCCGAAGGGAAACCGAGUCUUAACUGGGCGUUAAGUUGCAGGGUAUAGACCCGAAACCCGGUGAUCUAGCCAUGGGCAGGUUGAAGGUUGGGUAACACUAACUGGAGGACCGAACCGACUAAUGUUGAAAAAUUAGCGGAUGACUUGUGGCUGGGGGUGAAAGGCC
rnacentral:rRNA from 1 species